AGAUGCCAAGAAGACACACCACAGUGAUGGUCCCUAUGAUUCUGAUGUCGUUGAACUCAUCUACCAUCAGUGUAUCACUCUCCUGAAAGUGGUUAGAAAUGUUAUGAGAACCAGUCUUUCUCUGCCCAGCUGCUGGGACCAAGUAAGAAGCGCUGCUUUCUCCAUUGGCCACUCUCUCCACGGAGCCGGUGCUCACAGCAAUGUUCUGAGGGAUCACACAGAAAACAAAUACAUCUCUGGGCCAGGCAGAGGAAGACAUGACAGAAAAGAAUUCCAUAGAUCCUGUUUUACAGUCACUGGAGUAGAGAGCAAUAUUCUGCUCACACCAGGCAUCAGCAGAAUGGCUUAUUCUUCAUCUCUCCUGGGGCUAAAGAUGAUGAGCUCAUCAAAUCUCCAUAACAAGUGUGGAGAAUAGCCAAGAGGAAGAAAGGGUACAGAGCAGAGAACAAACUGCAGCUAGCAAAGGAAAUAUGCCUUUUAAAGUUGCAAGGAAGUGUUUCAUCUUCAGGCAUGAAGGAGCAAAGACAAGUC